UUGGAGGGCAAGUCUGGUGCCAGCAGCCGCGGUAAUUCCAGCUCCAAUAGCGUAUAUUAAAGUUGUUGCAGUUAAAAAGCUCGUAGUUGAAUUUCGGAAUCCAUCCAUCGGUCGGGCCUCACGGUCCGCACUGGUGUGAUGGAUUUCUACCUUCUGAAUAACCAGCAUGUCAUUAAUUUGGUGCGUUGGGGAAGCAGGACUGUUACCUUGAAAAAAUUAGAGUGCUUAAAGCAGGCUAGUGCCUGAAUACAUUAGCAUGGAAUAAUGAAAUAGGACGGCAUGGUUCUAUUUUGUUGGUUUCUAGGAUCACCGUAAUGAUUAAUAGGGAUAGUUGGGGGCAUUAGUAUUCAAUUGUCAGAGGUGAAAUUCUUGGAUUUAUUGAAGACUAACUUCUGCGAAAGCAUUUGCCAAGGAUGUUUUCAAUAAUCAAGAACGAAAGUUAGGGGAUCGAAGACGAUCAGAUACCGUCGUAGUCUUAACCAUAAACUAUGCCGACUAGGGAUCGGACGAUGUUAAUUUUUUAAUGACUCGUUCGGCGCCUUACGGGAAAC
rnacentral:rRNA from 1 species